CACACACAGUGGAAAUGAGACUGAUAAUCAUCUCUGUAAAUUCCAGCUCCGCUCAGAGGUGCAGAAAGCAGUGACACGCCACAUAAACAGCCAGAAACUGCACGCUUUCAAGCCGGGGCAGAUCGCAGGAAGCCUUGCAGAAAUCGGUUCAUGGAAACCAUCCGGACACCACGACAAGCGUCUUUUCCUCCAUGCGGGCCGCCGCACUCCACUUGAGGAAUUCUGUUAUGGUGGAUAAGGAAAGACACCUUCCCGAGUGGUUUCCCUCUGGACGUCGUCCCCUUUCAUUAUGACGACAUGCUCCACAUCAGCAGCUGAUCGGACAGGAACAGAUAACCCAGUUGGCAUCAAGAUCCGUCCGCAUGAGGAGCUGCACAAUCCACAUUCCAAUAGACGGCAGUGCAGUGGUGGCUUGAGUCUGUUGAAUGGUGAUUUAACGCUACAUCGUCCCCCAGCU